rnacentral:rRNA from 1 species
AUGUGGGAAGAUUUUGAAGAUGUCAAGCAAAGAUUCCCACGUGCAGCGGCUUGGGGGCAAUCUGUAUCUCAACAGGAGGGGAUUUUCAGCAGCAAGACAGAGUCUGUCAACAGCAAGACAAAGUCAAGGCGGGAACAGCCAAGAGUUACCAGCAACAGGCCGGGUCGCAAGCCUCGCCUCCCUGCUCGGCUAACGGGCCCCGAAUGGGCCUUAGGCCACGAUAGGAUAGCGUGGGCAGCUGGUCUUCCUCCUCCUUCCCCAUUCCCGAGACCCUCGUCCUGUAGCCCCCUCGUCCAUGAGCUCCACGAGAAGAGGAGCUCCUCUUCGUCGUCCCCACAGCAAUCGCUCGACCUCGCCACUAUCGUCUGCUCUGGUGAGCCUUGUCACUGUCGACGGCCGAAGCCAGGACCCGUCGCUGCUCUUCCCUUCUUCCCCUGGUUCUUCUCGUUGACCCAUGCCUCUCCGUGUAAUCUCCCUCUCUCAUCGUUUUCACAGAAGAAGCCCCGUCUGCCCCAUGGACGCCCUGCUUCGCCGGAUCCGUCCAUUCCCCUCGUCCCGCGCCCCGGAUUCGGUCGAUCCGAGCUUCCCCAUGCCCAAGACCUCGCCAACCCUUCGCUCUGCUCCCGGUCACCGGCGCCCUGCUCGCCUCCUCUGCUUCGCCCCUGCACGAGCAGGAUGGCCCUGCCCUGCUUCGCGUCCGUCCAGAUCCGGCGCUGGCCCGCCGUCUUCGACCUCCAUCUGCGUGCCCGCAAGCUCGCCGCCGCCAGCGUCCUCGCCAAGACCUGCCGCUGUCGCGCCUUGCUUCAGUCAUUACCCUCGCUGGGUAAUUGGAGACUAGGAUCAGUCACUAAUUUACUAUAUCAACAAAAACUGAAGCAGUCCACAACCAAGAACCAAGUACCAGGCCACAACCAAGAAGCGGAGCCUGUGGGGACAUGUUUCACCUGUGCUUGGAGCGGCUUGAGGAAGGAGCUGGACGACAAGCGGGACGACGAGCUAGAAGGCGAGCAGGACGCCGAGCUAGAUGCUGAGAGGGACGCCGAUCCAAUGGGUCAAUCAGUGCCGGCUCUACUGGACCAAUUCCUACACGUGGCCGACCCGUUGAAAUCUGGAAUAAUGGAGCGCACCAGGUCGAAUGUGGCGUGGUGGUUGACAUGGCAAACCCUAUUUAGGGCUGCAGGCGCCCGUUACAGGUGCGCAGCAGUCCACUUCCACUCGCCAACCCACCAGAUCUGCGUCUGUAUUACGUCGCACCCACCUGCCCCACGCCGGCGGCAUCACCGACACGAAACAGCGGCCAUUUUUAGCUUUGCCAAGAGGAGCUUCUGGCUUAUAGCCCCCACCCCACUCCACUUCUCAGUUUGCACAGCAGAGCAACCGGAGAGAGAGAGAGAGAGAGCAAUGUCGUCCAUCAUCGUGCAGGUGUCCGCCUUCGUCCUUAACCUCAUCGCCUUCGGCCUCGCCGUCGCCGCCGAGCAGCGCCGCAACAAGGCCACGGUGACGCCGGACCUGGCCAAGGAAGUCGACUGCCUUCUGAACUGGGUGCCAACUGGCGGCCUAAUUUAG